CGGCCCGGUGGACCGGUCCCAGGCCAAGGCCGCCGUCGCCGGGCUGCGCCCCACCGGUUUCACCCCGGUCGGGCUGGC
rnacentral:tRNA from 1 species